GACGUAGGGCGCGAGCGUUGUCCGGAUUUAUUGGGCGUAAAGAGCUCAUAGGCGGCUUGUUGCGUCAGCUGUGAAAACCCGCAGCUCAACUGUGGGCUUGCAGCUGAUACGGGCAGGCUUGAGUUCGGUAGGGGAGACUGGAAUUCCUGGUGUAGCGGUGAAAUGCGCAGAUAUCAGGAGGAACACCGGUGGCGAAGGCGGGUCUCUGGGCCGAUACUGACACUGAGGAGCGAAAGCGGUGGGAGCGAACAGG
rnacentral:rRNA from 1 species